UCCCUCAGAAUGGUUGGAAAUCAUUCGCAGAGUGUAAAGGCACAAGGGAGCUUGACUGCGAGACCUACAAGUCGAGCAGGGACGAAAGUCGGGCUUAGUGAUCCGGUGGUUCCGCAUGGAAGGGCCAUCGCUCAACGGAUAAAAGCUACCCCGGGGAUAACAGGCUUAUCUCCCCCAAGAGUCCACAUCGACGGGGAGGUUUGGCACCUCGAUGUCGGCUCAUCGCAUCCUGGGGCUGUAGUCGGUCCCAAGGGUUGGGCUGUUCGCCCAUUAAAGCGGUACGCGAGCUGGGUUCAGAACGUCGUGAGACAGUUCGGUCCCUAUCCGUCGCGGGCGCAGGAAAUUUGAGAGGAGCUGUCCUUAGUACGAGAGGACCGGGAUGGACGCACCGCUGGUGUACCAGUUGUUCUGCCAAGGGCAUCGCUGGGUAGCUAUGUGCGGACGGGAUAAGUGCUGAAAGCAUCUAAGCAUGAAGCCCCCCUCAAGAUGAGAUUUCCCAUUCCGCAAGGAAGUAAGAUCCCUGAAAGAUGAUCAGGUUGAUAGGUCUGAGGUGGAAGUGUGGCGACACAUGGAGCUGACAGAUACUAAUCGAUCGAGGACUUAACCAAUUU
rnacentral:rRNA from 1 species